CUAGAGCCGAAUGGUUGGCGGAAAGAUAGCUUGCUUAUUAGUGACUCGACAUGCAGGAUCGAGCAAACCACGAACAACAGUCGAUAAAUAUGCUAGGGAUUAUUGGACAAAAUUAACCACUGGGGGGGGAGGGGGUGGUAAAAUACGAUUCUACUUAGUAGCGUUUUGUUAUUGCCAAAGAUUUUUCCAUUUCGCACGGGAGUAAUAAAAAACUAACAUUCACGAAUGAAAAAUCCUGAUAGGCCUUUUAGAAGUAAUCAAGAAACCUUGACAGCUACGAAAGAGAAUCUCCCUCAACGUACUCCCCCUAAGUAACGCUUUGGAGUCAUUCAGAUUCAAGUUUCACGUUGCCUAUUUACGUAGCAAGACAUUCAGCGAGAGAUUAUUUGCAUUUACAAGCAAGGAGUAAUUUGUUUCGCUCGAGUAAUUUGAAUUCAGAAGUGGACUUUCUCUAGUUAGGAGGCGGUCAUUCUGAGACGAAUUCACAAAUGUGACUCAUAACCGUGAAGAAGAGUUCAUUCGUGAACGAACAGAAGGGCUGCAUUGACACGAAAUGGAGCAGACCCGGAAGUCAAGAACAAAGCACAGCUCUGCGCGUCUGUGUAUCGUUGCGGAAACAUAGGAAUGUUGUUUGUCACUGCGAGAUUUAUUAUGGGUCUAAAACCCGGUUAACAGUCAAAUGAGUCCCUCGAAAAACUUUAAUAUCCCUUUGAAAUUCACCGAACUUGCGAAACCGUCGAACAGCACCCGAAAAAUUUCCAUAAUUUGCCUCGAAGCUCGUAAUUUACACUUCCACAAUCACAAGACAUUUGGGUGCGACUCGCAAAACACCCACGCAAAAUUCACUUGACCUGAAGGAGAUCACGUGAACGAAUUCGCCCGCGUUUUGCGCAAUAUUAUACGUGCUGUAAAGCCGCCGUCAGUAUACGGAAAUACUUAUGCGGAAACUGGUGGCCACCAUGUUCUGCUCUUCAUUACAAAGCUGUCCAAAGUACAAUAUUUUUUUUAAAAAAUUAAUCUCAUUUACUCCAAGGUACUGAAUGCUCUCGUUGUGACCAUUGCGAGUCUAACAUUCGCGCAUAUUCUCAAUUGUUUUAAAACUUUCCAUCAUUUCCUUCAUUAAAACGCACUCGAUCAAAGUUUACCAUUCCAUCACGUCCAGGUGUUAGCGGCCAAAUUUAUAAUUUUGAUACCGGUUUACGUUCUUUCUUUCGCGUAAGCGCAUCAGAUGCUACCUUGAGCCUAAAGAAAAAGCAUGGAAAUUAGCCACUCAGCUCGGAAGCGGCGUACAAAGCCAUAAAUUUGCAUCGCGGAAAAAAAGAGCGAAUUAUAAUUCACUUCCAAUAUGUUCACUUAAGUUUCAAUUGAAAUGACCCUUCUGACGCAAAGAAAAAUAGAGGUCGCCUUCUGCGUGCAAUCACACUUCCUACGGCUUUGACGUCACCGUGCAUACGUGCGAUAUCUUCAAACAUUUCCUGACUUGUUUGAUAGGUACUCUUUAUCUACGGAGUUUCUUAACCAAACGGCUACAAGACCAACCACAAACCCUCCACACAUACUGCAACCCUUUGUUACAGCGAUAUAAAUAGAGCGGUAUGUAUGAAGCGUUUGAUUCGCUUUUGCGAUUCGAAAUUCUGUGGUUUCAGCCCGAUCUAGAAUGCUUUGGAAGGUAAAAAUGAAAUCGAAAGAGCAGCAUUUUCUGUUUGACAAUAAGUUAUCUCAACAUCUACAAAAUUAGAAGGAAUAUCAAGUUCCUGCUCGACAAAAUUUUUGAAAAAAAAUUUUGAGCGGACUGAUUUAAAGAUGUGGUCGAAGUAACAAACCCUAAAUUUGGCUUCUUACCGCGAAUGAGUUUAAGUCUAACCGAAAUUUUCCUUAGUAACCAUUUUACGAUAUCGAACGCAGUCACUGAGAUGUCGGAGUCUUUGAAUACGUGUCUGAUGGUAGCGGCGCGCGUGUGAGAAUGCACACCUUCGUACAUCGUGCUUCGAGAGGGCACACUUCACGCUUCCGAUCUACACCGAACUCGCGCCGAUAUAUAGUAACAAUGCCUUUCAGGCAAAGUAAAAGUUGCCAGGUACGUUAUUAACCCAAGACAAAUAAAUAAGGGGGUGGAGCCAUUCAAUUAUCUUUGCAAAUCUGUACACUGGAACAAUGAUUUUAAGAAGUAUCAGAAAACAUCUGCAUGCUGUCUUGCGAAUUGCCACUGCAUUUGGAAGGAUGCUGAAGAUAGCCGGCCGAACACUGCCGAAGAACACCGAAGAAAAUAGCAAGGAGCCGAAGAAAGAUCUUCCUAAUGGCAGCUUCUUCGUUACAUUGGGGUUCGUUGAAGGUCGUUAAUGACCGCUUUACAAUAUGCUACACAGAAUCUAUAGAUACGAAGUAACCACAUCAUAAGACGAGACUGUUCCCACUGAGGCUAAGCUAACUUUACACUACCAGGACGUUCAUUUUACGUUACCGGAAUGCUUGCAAACAAGGAAUGAGCUAAAGCUGGAUUUGAAAACAGUAGCAAUUGCAAUGAGAGAAAGGUUACUUAGAAGAUCAUCCAAGAAGGGGGAGGAAGAGGGAUCUGCAAGAUACGUGCAAAGAAAAAUAAUCAAGUAGACCUUUGGGAGAGGAUAACUGAGUAAAUGGCUUUCUGACUGGGUGUCUUGGUAUAACAAAGAGGCUUGAUAGAAAAACAUAUAGGAUGAUGUACAUAGAGCUGAUGGAUGGAUUGGUAAGUAAUUGCAUUGGGAAGGAAAUGGAAGGAAAAGAGGUAAAAUAAGAGAAACACUGAAAAAAGGAAGAAACGAAAAAAGGACGAGAGGGAAAAGAAGGAAAGAUUCCAAAACGUGGUUAAAUGUUUUGAGAAGUAACGAGCACAGCCUGGGUCAUAACACACUUUCAAAAGUGUUUCCUGAUUGCCCAUCAACAAAUGUCAAGUGAAGUUGCAGCAAGAUCACUACGCAUACAGGCUUAGGAAAAACUGAAUACCAAGAAUGAAAUGUUCUGGAAAACAAGUUUGAUAUUUAAGCAAAGGAAUCCUACGAGGAAAUCUCUCAGGAUUCCAAAUCUAAUUGCACGUGUUCAUUGUAUGAAUGCAGUCAAACAGGAAAUUUUGGAAGAGCUACGACAAUUCCAGAAGGCACAACGACAACGUAUUUGUAUAUAAGCAAAGAAAAUUUAGGGAAAUUAUUACGAAAGAAAGCAUCGAACCAGUUUCGAAUCAAAAGCUAUGCUGCACAUGAUAACAUCCACCUGGAUAACGUGGGCAGUACGAAAAUAAAAGAGAAGGAAGGAUUUUUUUCCUGAGGGCCGGCUUCAGCUUCGACAGAGAAUAAUAAAGCAUGAGCGACGGUGAAUUAUUGCAGUGUGCUGGAGUUUCAGUAUCAACUGGAAUAAAGCUUAAGCCGGUCCCCUUAUAGUAAUGUCAAGCGAUUGACCACAUCGAUGCGCGAGCAGCUAAAAGAAAAGAUCAGAGAUUGAAAUUACACCAACGUUAGAUGCGGACUGAGAAAGAGUUGCCCCGAGCGAUUCAACAGUUCAAGGUAUGUCGGCAGUGUAAGUUUCCCAUCAUAAUUUUAAACAAUAAAAAAAAGCACUCGGACGAGACAAGUGAACCAAAAAGCGACUUGAACAGUCCGGAAUUCGAAAGGGCGAGUACGUUUGAAUAGAUCUGAGCCGUGGCCAGUUUAUGUCCCAAAAAAGAAUAGAGGUCAAGUUAAACAAGGCAAUCAAGAAAUUUUUGCUUGUAGGCCUAAGGCAAAAAUCGGCUCGUAAAAUUUUUAAGAGAAGAUCUUGAGGCUUUUUCCCAUAUUUUGAAACGCUUAAUCUCCACAUAGUUAGGGCUCAAAAGCCUCUUCUUGAGGAUGAUAUGACAUGUGCCCGCUUUUCCAAGAUUAGGGUGGCUUUCUAUUCCAGCAAAAUGAAACAGAUAUUAAAUUUUAGCCGCGCAUAAUAAAGUCUUGUACACAUGUCCGCACACGAAAGCUUUCGCUAAGCUACUUUUGUUUAAUUUUGUUUUGUUAAACCAGCGUUAAUUAAAAAACAUUAAACCUAAAAUGCUUUGCUAUCGUCUCAACCCGAUCUACGCUAAAAUGUUUAAGGUUCCCAUGAUUUUUCUGCAUGGAAACGUUACUAUCUUGAUCAUGGUGACAAUUCAUAGAGGUUUUAUUCACGAAAAAAGAACUGAAAGAUUUAUUUCAUGCUAUACCGCCGCUCCAAUGACUCGUGUCACGUACGUUUGCAUAUAGAACGCCUUAACUGAAAUAUCAUGUGAAACCGAACAAAACCCAAAGAAAUAAUUUUCCGUGUUUGCGGCCAAGUUGUCGAAUCGGGUUUUACUGAAUAUUUCUGAAGUAAUUUCUCGUAACGUUUCUGUUGAUGCUAAAAUUCUGUUGAAAGGGCACCAAGCCGAGGCACAUUGGAUGUCGCGUGAUUACAUUGGAAAAGCCUCGUUACUCCAUAAUCUUACACACUACUUUCUUAAAAAAGCAUUUUAAAGGCGUGAAAAGAUCUUACCUGUAGGAAAAAAUAGCUUUUAAAGUAGGACCAACACAUAUCAGAUCACAAAAUAGAGCGAUCUAUGUUCCCGGCUAGAACCUUAAAAGUGAAACGAAGAGCUGUUGAACCCGGCUUCGACAGAGGCGAGAUGUAGAUGACGAAUUUGACUUUCUCGAAAAGGGAAUCUUAAGCGGAAUUUCAAAACAGGUAUCAGGCAGCAAAGGAAA